rnacentral:lncRNA from 1 species
UGAUAAUGAGGUUCAAUGCUAAAUUCAAACUCUUUGUAUGACAUGUUGGAAAAUGGAAUCAAAAACUAAGAGAGUGCUAAAAAUUGGGAUACCCGUGCAUCUUUAGAAGCUCGAGUGGAAUCGUUUUGCAGGGCUACCGAUCAACUCUCCACUCCUAUCCUUUCAUCUCAAGUUUUUUAUGAAUUUUGUUGUGGUUUACAUUUGUGUAAUGAUUGUCCAUUGUAUAG